rnacentral:rRNA from 1 species
GACGGAGGAUGCAAGCGUUAUCCGGAAUGAUUGGGCGUAAAGCGUCCGCAGGUGGCAGUUCAAGUCGGCGGUCAAAGACCAAAGCUCAACUUUGGAAAGGCCGUGGAAACUGAACAGCUAGAGUGCGGUAGGGGCAGAGGGAAUUCCCGGUGUAGCGGUGAAAUGCGUAGAGAUCGGGAAGAACACCGGUGGCGAAAGCGCUCUGCUGGGCCGCAACUGACACUCAGGGACGAAAGCUAGGGGAGCGAAU